GUAGGUGGCAAGCGUUGUCCGGAAUUAUUGGGCGUAAAGCGCGCGCAGGUGGUUCUUUAAGUCUGAUGUGAAAGCCCCCGGGCUCAACCGGGGAGGGUCAUUGGAAACUGGGGAACUUGAGUGCAGGAGAGGAAAGUGGAAUUCCACGUGUAGCGGUGAAAUGCGUAGAUAUGUGGAGGAACACCAGUGGCGAAGGCGACUUUCUGGCCUGUAACUGACACUGAGGCGCGAAAGCGUGGGGAGCAAACAGGAUUAGAUACCCUGGUAGUCCACGCCGUAAACGAUGAGUGCUAAGUGUUGGGGGGUUUCCGCCCCUCAGUGCUGCAGCUAACGCAUUAAGCACUCCGCCUGGGGAGUACGGCCGCAAAGGCUG
rnacentral:rRNA from 1 species